GCGGUGGAGCAUGUGGUUUAAUUCGAAGCAACGCGAAGAACCUUACCAGGUCUUGACACUCCCCCGCGAUGCUUUAGAGAUAAAGACGGAGGUAUUCGGGGAGACAGGUGGUGCAUGGUUGUCGUCAGCUCGUGUCGUGAGAUGUUGGGUUAAGUCCCGCAACGAGCGCAACCCCUAUUGCUAGUUACCAUCAUUAAGUUGGGGACUCUAGCGAGACUGCCAGUGAUAAACUGGAGGAAGGUGGGGAUGACGUCAAAUCAUCAUGCCCCUUAUGACCUGGGCUACAAACGUGAUACAAUGGCUGGAACAAAGGGAUGCGAAGCAGUGAUGUGGAGCGAAACCCAUAAAAACAGUCUCAGUUCGGAUUGAAGUCUGCAACUCGACUUCAUGAAGUCGGAAUCGCUAGUAAUCGCGGAUCAGAACGCCGCGGUGAAUACGUUCUCGGGGUUU
rnacentral:rRNA from 1 species